rnacentral:rRNA from 1 species
UAGGGAAUCUUCCGCAAUGGACGCAAGUCUGACGGAACAACGCCGCGUGAGUGAAGAAGGAUUUCGGUUCGUAAAACUCUGUUGUUAGAGAAGAACAGCGCAUAGAGUAACUGUUAUGCGUGUGACGGUAUCUAACCAGAAAGCCACGGCUAACUACGUGCCAGCAGCCGCGGUAAUACGUAGGUGGCAAGCGUUGUCCGGAUUUAUUGGGCGUAAAGCGAGCGCAGGCGGUCAAUUAAGUCUGAUGUGAAAGCCCCCGGCUCAACCGGGGAGGGUCAUUGGAAACUGGUUGACUUGAGUGCAGAAGAGGAGAGUGGAAUUCCAUGUGUAGCGGUGAAAUGCGUAGAUAUAUGGAGGAACACCGGUGGCGAAAGCGGCUCUCUGGUCUGUAACUGACGCUGAGGCUCGAAAGCGUGGGGAGCGAACAGG